CACGUGAGCCCCAAGCGUUACCCGGAUUUACUGGGCGUAAAGGGUGUGUAGGCGGUUGUGUUAGUCGUUUGUUAAAACCCGGGGCUCAACCUCGGAGAUGCAGGCGAAACGGCACGACUAGAGAGUGUGAGAGGUCUGUGGAACUCAUGGAGUAGGGGUGAAAUCCGUUGAUAUCAUGGGGAACACCGAAAGCGAAGGCAGCAGACUGGCGCACUUCUGACGCUGAAACACGAAAGCGUGGGUAGCGAACGGG
rnacentral:misc_RNA from 1 species